rnacentral:rRNA from 1 species
UAGGGAAUCNCUCCGCAAUGGACGCAAGUCUGACGGAGCAACGCCGCGUGAGUGAAGAAGGUCUUCGGAUCGUAAAGCUCUGUUGUUAGAGAAGAACAGCGCAUAGAGUAACUGUUAUGCGUGUGACGGUAUCUAACCAGAAAGCCACGGCUAACUACGUGCCAGCAGCCGCGGUAAUACGUAGGUGGCGAGCGUUGUCCGGAUUUAUUGGGCGUAAAGGGAGUGUAGGCGGUCUUUUAAGUCUGAUGUGAAAGCCCACGGCUCAACCGUGGAGGGUCAUUGGAAACUGGGAGACUUGAGUGCAGAAGAGGAGAGCGGAAUUCCAUGUGUAGCGGUGAAAUGCGUAGAUAUAUGGAGGAACACCAGUGGCGAAGGCGGCUCUCUGGUCUGUAACUGACGCUGAGGCUCGAAAGCGUGGGGAGCAAACAGGAUUAGAUACCCUGGUAGUCCACGCCGUAAACGAUGAGUGCUAAGUGUUGGAGGGGUUCCACCCUUCAGUGCUGGAGUUAACGCAAUAAGCACUCCGCCUGGGGAGUACGGCCGCAAGGCU